rnacentral:rRNA from 1 species
GACGUAGGGCGCGAGCGUUGUCCGGAUUUAUUGGGCGUAAAGAGCUCGUAGGCGGCUUGUCGCGUCGACUGUGAAAUCCCGCGGCUCAACUGCGGGUCUGCAGUCGAUACGGGCAGGCUAGAGUUCGGUAGGGGAGACUGGAAUUCCUGGUGUAGCGGUGAAAUGCGCAGAUAUCAGGAGGAACACCAGUGGCGAAGGCGACUCACUGGCCCGAUGCUGACGCUGAGGCGCGAAAGCGUGGGGAGCAAACAGG